AUUGAACGCUGGCGGCAUGCCUUACACAUGCAAGUCGAACGGCAGCACGGGAGCAAUCCUGGUGGCGAGUGGCGAACGGGUGAGUAAUAUAUCGGAACGUGCCCAGUCGUGGGGGAUAACGCAGCGAAAGCUGUGCUAAUACCGCAUACGAUCUACGGAUGAAAGCGGGGGAUCGCAAGACCUCGCGCGAUUGGAGCGGCCGAUAUCAGAUUAGCCAGUUGGUGGGGUAAAGGCCCACCAAGGCGACGAUCUGUAGCUGGUCUGAGAGGACGACCAGCCACACUGGAACUGAGACACGGUCCAGACUCCUACGGGAGGCAGCAGUGGGGAAUUUUGGACAAUGGGCGCAAGCCUGAUCCAGCAAUGCCGCGUGCAGGAUGAAGGCCUUCGGGUUGUAAACUGCUUUUGUACGGAACGAAACGGCUCCUUCUAAUACAAGGGGCUAAUGACGGUACCGUAAGAAUAAGCACCGGCUAACUACGUGCCAGCCGCCGCUGUAAGAC
rnacentral:rRNA from 1 species